GAUGAACGCUGGCGGCGUGCCUAAUACAUGCAAGUAGAACGCUGAAGGAGGAGCUUGCUCUUCGAUGAGUUGCGAACGGGUGAGUAACGCGUAGGUAACCUGCCUGGUAGCGGGGGAUAACUAUUGGAAACGAUAGCUAAUACCGCAUGACAACAGUUAUUGCAUGAUAACUGUUUAAAAGGGGCAACUGCUCCACUACCAGAUGGACCUGCGUUGUAUUAGCUAGUUGGUGAGGUAACGGCUCACCAAGGCGACGAUACAUAGCCGACCUGAGAGGGUGAUCGGCCACACUGGGACUGAGACACGGCCCAGACUCCUACGGGAGGCAGCAGUAGGGAAUCUUCGGCAAUGGACGGAAGUCUGACCGAGCAACGCCGCGUGAGUGAAGAAGGUUUUCGGAUCGUAAAGCUCUGUUGUAAGAGAAGAACGAGUGUGAGAGUGGAAAGUUCACACUGUGACGGUAGCUUACCAGAAAGGGACGGCUAACUACGUG
rnacentral:rRNA from 1 species